rnacentral:ncRNA from 1 species
CAGAGUAGAAACUUGAGCGUUGCUUUAAUGCUUAGUGCUUGCCAAACGGGGAGUUGUUGGCAGGACGAAUGGAGUUUGCUCCUACGGUUCAGGUUUUGCAUCCCGCUGU